CAACCUUAUAAGUGGAGACACAUUGUUGAUGUUACCAUUAUAAAAUAGCUUAUAAUCAGUGUUGGGUAGUAACGGAUUACAUGUAAUGACGUUACGUAAUUUAAUUACAAAAAAAGAGUAACUGUAAUUCGUUACAGUUACAAUGAGAAAAUAUGUAAUUCAGUUACAGUUACUUCCGAAAAUAUUAAGAAUUACAAAUUUAGUUACAUUUAAAAAAAAAUAUGAACAAAAACCUUUGCGAAAUAUGUAAUGAUAUUUUUAUUGCUUUGCGCCCUAUAUCGCCUUUUCCCGCUACGGCUCCUUGUCUCUAUCAUAUCUGCCAGCCGCAAUGCCACUCUGAUGUUCCAUCCUGUGCUGGUGGAGCCUCCUGGAGGAACAGCAAGCGAGCGGACGGUUCCAUUUCAGCUCAAGCAGCGCAUCAAAAAUGACAGCCUUCCAGCACUGGAAAUAUAAGGAGCAUUUCAUUUACAUAUGUGAAAAUGGCUCAAAUUUAACCGUGCAGUGCAAGAAGUGUUUGCCGGCUAUCAAGAACUUGUCCACGUCGAAGCAAUCUAUGUCAAACCUGAGGAAACAUUUAGAGAGGAAGCAUCCAGGCGUUCUUCUGAAAGAAGAACUCUUGACACUACGUUGUAGUGUCCACAGUUGUUUUGCUUGUCUAACACAGUGAUUGUGUGAUUUUGGAAAACUAUUGUUUUUCCCGUUUUGAUUUUGAAUGAUAUGUUGCAAACACUUCUAUUUUUGUCAACAUUCCAUUGACUGUUAAAUGUUCAAUGACUAACUUGACUACCCAUCGUCCAUCUUAAUUCUUGAUGCACUGUAUUGUGCCGUGUUUAAUUUUACAAGCAAGGGUGUGCAAAGAAAAAAUCAAGAAAAAUAAAAUGUGAUGUAAAAGUCUUA